rnacentral:rRNA from 1 species
GGGGGGGGGGGGGGGGGGGCGGGGGGCAGGCGGGGCGGACGGGGGACUGCGCGUGCGGGGGGCGCAGUGGCGAACGGGUGAGUAACACGUGGGCAACCUGCGCUCAGCUCUGGGAUAACCCCAAGAAAUGGGGGCUAAUACCGGAUAUGACCGCUGACCGCAUGGUCUGGUGGUGGAAAGAUUGAUCGGCUGGGGAUGGGCCCGCGGCCUAUCAGCAUGUUGGUGGGGUAGUGGCCUACCAAGGCGGCGACGGGUAGCCGGCCUGAGGGGGUGACCGGCCACACUGGGACUGAGGCAAAGCCCAGACUCCUACGGGAGGCAGCAGUGGGGGAGAUUGCGCAAUGGGCGGACGCCUGACGCAGCGGCGCCGCGUGGGGGAUGACGGACUUCGGGUUGUAAACCUCUUUCAGCAGGGACGAAGCGAAAGUGACGGUACCUGCAGAAGAAGCACCGGCCAACUACGUG